UACGUAGGGCGCAAGCGUUGUCCGGAAUUAUUGGGCGUAAAGAGCUCGUAGGCGGUUUGUCGCGUCUGUCGUGAAAGCUUGGGGCUUAACCCCAAGUCUGCGGUGGAUACGGGCAGACUAGAGGCAGGUAGGGGAGAACGGAAUUCCUGGUGUAGCGGUGGAAUGCGCAGAUAUCAGGAGGAACACCGGUGGCGAAGGCGGGUCUCUGGGCAGUAACUGACGCUGAGGAGCGAAAGCGUGGGGAGCGAACAGG
rnacentral:rRNA from 1 species